GUGAGUCAUCGAAUCUUUGAACGCACAUUGCGCCCUUCGGUAUUCCGUUGGGCAUGCCUGUUCGAGCGUCAUUUAAACCUUCAAGCUUUGCUUGGUGUUGGGCGGCUGUUCUGCCUGUGGGCACGAACUCGCCUCAAAUCUAUUGGCAGUUUGUGGGUUGGAUUCUGUGUGCAGCACAUUGCGCGACGACUCCGGCCUCCUUCCUCCCAUCAAGCCCUUCCAUUGUUUGACCUCGGAUCAGGUAGGGAUACCCGCUGAACUUAAGCAUAUCAAUAAGCGGAGGA
rnacentral:misc_RNA from 1 species